AUGUGUCUGACUGUGUGUGUGUGUAUGCGACUGUGUGUGUGUGUGUGUGUUUGUGUCUGACUGUGUGUGUGUGUGUUUGUGUCUGACUGUGUAUGUGUGUGUGUGUGUGUCUGACUGUGUGUGUGUGUGUGUUUGUGUCCUGACUGUGUAUGUGUCUGACUGUGUGUGUGUGUGUUUGUGUGUAUGCGUCUGACUGUGUGUGUGUUUGUGUCUGACUGUGUGUGUGUGUUUGUGUAUGUGUCUGACUGUGUGUGUGUGUGUGUGUGUUUGUGUCUGACUGUGUGUGUGUGU